rnacentral:rRNA from 1 species
GCCUUCAUGAAGCCGGAAUUGCUAGUAAUGGCAGGUCAGCAUACUGCCGUGAAUACGUUCCCGGGCCUUGUACACACCGCCCGUCACACCAUGAGAGUUGGGAAUACCCGAAGCCUGUGAGCUAACUUUUAGAGGCAGCAGUCGAAGGUAGAAUCAAUGAUUGGGGUGAAGUCGUAACAAGGUAGC